GUACACCUUCACGAGCAAUGGGAGCAUGAUUUACCUUGAUCUUUCCUACAAUUCUUUAUCAGGAACUAUUCCUGAUAAUUUAGGUUCAUUGAGCUUCCUUCAGGUUCUGAAUUUGGGACACAACAAUUUUACCGGAACCAUUCCGUUCAACUUUGGAGGUCUAAAGAUAGUAGGAGUUCUUGAUCUGUCACAUAACAGCCUACAGGGAUUCAUUCCACCCUCGUUAGGAGGCCUUUCAUU
rnacentral:misc_RNA from 1 species